UAGGACCCGGGUCAUGGAGAUCACAACCAUAUGUAUGGUAACAACAUGGAUCUAGUUGUCUCGGGAUCUAUUUGUCAUCCUUUGAUCAAAAUGUCUCACUAGUAACCAGUAACCAUGUUAGUUAAAUAAAAAUGUUAUUAUCAUUAUCAAAGUUAAUAAAUUUAUAAUUUGAGUUUUAACUUUUAAGUAUUAAGUAAUAAAUUAAAUUGAUCAAAUUUGAGUUUUGACGAAAAUUGCACACAAUAGAAUUUUUGAAGGAUGACUGGCUUGCGAUUUUGAAACUUGCACCUUGCUGUUAAAUGUUACCUAUGAAUCUAUUGAUUUAUAGACAUGUUUUUACCAAUUUGUAUAAUUCAGCUUAUACAUUUGUCACCCUCAAGUAAUAUGAAUAUUAUAUAAUAUUACUUUGAUACCAUAGGUAAAUAUA